AUACGUAGGGGGCGAGCGUUGUCCGGAAUGAUUGGGCGUAAAGGGCGCGUAGGCGGCCCGGUAAGUCUGGAGUGAAAGUCCUGUUUUUAAGAUGGGAAUUGCUUUGGAUACUGUCGGGCUUGAGCGCAGGAGAGGUAAGUGGAAUUCCCGGUGUAGCGGUGAAAUGCGUAGAGAUCGGGAGGAACACCAGUGGCGAAGGCGGGUAACUGGACUGCAACGGACGCUGAGGCGCGAAAGUGUGGGGAGCAAACAGGAUUAGAUACCCGGGUAGUCCACGCCGUAAACGAUGAAUACUAGGUGUAGGGGGUAUCGACUCCCUCUGUGCCGCAGUUAACACAAUAAGUAUUCCGCCUGGGGAGUACGGCCGCAAGGUUGAAACUCAAAUGAAUUGACGGGG
rnacentral:rRNA from 1 species